UACGGAGGGUGCGAGCGUUGUCCGGAAUCACUGGGCGUAAAGGGCGCGUAGGUGGCCCGUCAAGCGCGCGGUGAAAGCCCGGGGCUCAACCCCGGGUCGGCCGUGCGGACUGGCGGGCUCGAGCACUGUAGGGGCGGGUGGAAUUCCGGGUGUAGCGGUGGAAUGCGUAGAGAUCCGGAAGAACACCGGUGGCGAAGGCGGCCUGCUGGGCAGUGGCUGACGCUGAUGCGCGACAGCGUGGGGAGCAAACAGG
rnacentral:rRNA from 1 species